CGGUGGAGCAUGUGGCUUAAUUCGAUGCAACGCGAAGAACCUUACCUGGCCUUGACAUGCAUGUGGUAGGAGCGUGAAAGGGCGACGGCGCCGCAAGGGGAGCAUGCACAGGUGAUGCAUGGCUGUCGUCAGCUCGCGUCGUGAGAUGUUUGGUUAAGUCCAGCAACGAGCGCAACCCUGGUCGUUAGUCGCCACCAUUCAGUUGUGAACUCUAACGAGACAAACCCUUUUUAAGGGUGGGAAGGUGGGGAUGACGUCAAGUCAGUAUGGCCCUUACGGCCAGGGCUGCUCACGUGAUACAAUUCCCAGUACAGUGGGAGGCGAAACC
rnacentral:rRNA from 1 species